rnacentral:rRNA from 1 species
UGGGGAAUAUUGCACAAUGGAGGGAACUCUGAUGCAGCGACGCCGCGUGAGUGAUGAAGGAAUUCGUUUCGUAAAACUCUGUUCUAUGGGAAGAAAAGGACUGUACCAUAGGAGAAAGCUCCGGCUAAAUACGUGCCAGCAGCCGCGGUAAUACGUAUGGAGCGAGCGUUGUCCGGAAUUAUUGGGCGUAAAGGGUGCGCAGGCGGCUUUACAAGUUGGAUGUGAAAUAUUGUGGCUCGACCACAAACGUGCAUCCAAAACUGCAAAGCUUGAGUUAAGGAGAGGUAAGUGGAAUUCCUGGUGUAGCGGUGGAAUGCGUAGAUAUCAGGAGGAAUACCGGUGGCGAAGGCGACUUACUGGACUUAAACUGACGCUCAGGCACGAAAGCGUGGGGAGCAAACAGG